UCCGGUGUGGGUCUAGUGGCUAGGAUACCUGGCUCUCACCCAGGAGGCCGGGUUCGAUUCCCGGUACCGGAA
rnacentral:tRNA from 1 species